GAAAAAACUGAGGUUUUAACCCUUUUUUCUUUGUUUUACAGUCUGAAAAUGGUUUGGCUGUUGGCAGUUGGGGGGCAGUUGUGUCCCUUUAUGGAAAACUAUCAUCUUGAAAGCUUGCAUCAGAGCUUACCUUCUGGCAAUUCGGACUUCAAAGAACGCAUAUAUUGCCGCUCUGAUUGCAUCGGCUGAGUCGCGCCCAGCCGCCUAGUUCAGAAUAACCCGCUCCCUCUUGAAAGGGAGGGAUGCGGGCAACCCUUUACAAGGUAGAGCUGAGGAGUUUGUCCAAUUUCUCACGGAUAAAUUUGCUCAUCUUCGGACGGACCUGGACUCCAAUUGCUCAGAGCCAGCCGAGCAUAACUCUGGACCGCCUUGAGCAAUUUCAACCAUGAUUCUGGCAGGAAUUGGGUGAAAACAAUUUCCCUCCACUUUGAAAAUAGAUGUUGAAUACAUUUUGGAAGGGAAACGAUUCUUCCUCACUAACCAUUCCAAAUAAAUCACCACGAGGAAGCAGAAGAAUCGCCCACGAUGUGUUGGAAUCCUCUAGGAAUGAGUAAACGGUGCCUCACGUUCAUUUAUCAAAUUGGUAACUUCAAGUACAUUUCUUGUCUGAAUUAAGUGAAGUUCAGGGAUGUUCCAAUUAACAGAUGCUCAACUCUUGAACCGAACAGGAUGACAAUUUAUGUACCCACUUGGUGACGUGAGCUAAACCGGUGGCAUUUGCCUUAUGUGUUGGGUAUCAAAACUUUGCAUAAAAUAAAAUAUCAUGCGGUAUAUUUGUGAGUUCUUUUUGCAUUCUUCAGCUGACCUGACUAU